GAUGAACGCUAGCUACAGGCUUAACACAUGCAAGUCGAGGGGUAACGAGAGGAAAGCUUGCUUUCCUUGUCGACGACCGGCGCACGGGUGAGUAACGCGUAUCCAACCUGCCCCCAACUAGGGAAUAACCUUGCGAAAGUAAGACUAAUACCCUACAAUUUCCUCAGAUGACAUCGUACGAGGAAUAAAGAUUUAUCGGUUGUGGAUGGGGAUGCGUAUGAUUAGCUUGUUGGCGGGGUAACUGCCCACCAAGGCAACGAUCAGUAGGGGUUCUGAGAGGAAGGUCCCCCACAUUGGAACUGAGACACGGUCCAAACUCCUACGGGAUGCAGCAGUGAGGAAUAUUGGUCAAUGGGCGGAAGCCUGAACCAGCCAAGUAGCGUGCAGGAUGACGGCCCUAUGGGUUGUAAACUGCUUUUAUACAGGAAUAAAGUUAGCCACGUGUGGUUACUUGUAGGUACUGUAUGAAUAAGGACCGGCUAAUUCCGUGCCAGCCGCCGCCGUAA
rnacentral:rRNA from 1 species